rnacentral:rRNA from 1 species
AGUGAACGCUGGCGGUAGGCCUAACACAUGCAAGUCGAACGGCAGCACAGUAAGAGCUUGCUCUUACGGGUGGCGAGUGGCGGACGGGUGAGGAAUACAUCGGAAUCUACUUUUUCGUGGGGGAUAACGUAGGGAAACUUACGCUAAUACCGCAUACGACCUACGGGUGAAAGCGGGGGGUCUUCGGACCUUGCGCGAUUGAAUGAGCCGAUGUCGGAUUAGCUAGUUGGCGGGGUAAAGGCCCACCAAGGCGACGAUCCGUAGCUGGUCUGAGAGGAUGAUCAGCCACACUGGAACUGAGACACGGUCCAGACUCCUACGGGAGGCAGCAGUGGGGAAUAUUGGACAAUGGGCGCAAGCCUGAUCCAGCCAUACCGCGUGGGUGAAGAAGGCCUUCGGGUUGUAAAGCCCUUUUGUUGGGAAAGAAAAGCAGCAGGUUAAUACCCCGCUGUUCUGACGGUACCCAAAGAAUAAGCACCGGCUAACUUCGUG